rnacentral:lncRNA from 1 species
GGCGAGGAGGAGGUUCACCGCGACCCACCGUCGAUCAGACCUGUAAGUGUUCGACUUACGUAUUUUGGACUCCUCUUUGAUUUUUUUUUUUUUUUGAAAUUACACUUUUAUUCCUGUAGUGCGGCGUCGGAUGUCGACCCCGGCCAGGCUGCCGGCCAAGGGACGGGCGAGCCUGUCCGCGCUGCUGAGGAUACGGUCCCCCAGACCACAGAGCAGCCUACAGCUGCAGUCGCGCCUUGGAGCACCGAGGGGCUUCCGACCGCGGCACCGACUACGACAGGCAGCCCGACCAGGGCUGAAGAGGCUCCCCCAGCUGGCUCCACAGAAGAGGAGGGAAGAUCCCCGACCGCUCCUCCUGCCGGAGGGAGUAAACUCCCCACGCCGCCCCGAGCAGGAAACUCUUCGGCUGCAGGCUCCCCA